rnacentral:tRNA from 1 species
GCCCCCGUAGCCCAAUCGGCAGAGGCAAUCGACUUAAAAUCGACGCAGUGCGGGUUCGAGUCCCGUCGGGGGCA